rnacentral:rRNA from 1 species
UGGGGAAUAUUGGACAAUGGGCGGAAGCCUGAUCCAGCCAUGCCGUGUGUGUGAAGAAGGCCUUUUGGUUGUAAAGCACUUUAAGCGAGGAGGAGGCUACUUGGAUUAAUACUCUAGGAUAGUGGACGUUACUCGCAGAAUAAGCACCGGCUAACUCUGUGCCAGCAGCCGCGGUAAUACAGAGGGUGCGAGCGUUAAUCGGAUUUACUGGGCGUAAAGCGUGCGUAGGCGGCUUCUUAAGUCGGAUGUGAAAUCCCUGAGCUUAACUUAGGAAUUGCAUUCGAUACUGGGAAGCUAGAGUAUGGGAGAGGAUGGUAGAAUUCCAGGUGUAGCGGUGAAAUGCGUAGAGAUCUGGAGGAAUACCGAUGGCGAAGGCAGCCAUCUGGCCUAAUACUGACGCUGAGGUACGAAAGCAUGGGGAGCAAACAGG